GUGGGGUUGUAGAAAGCUAAGUUGCUCAUGUGUUAGGCCACACCAGCCCCAGGAACUGCUUCUGAAAGGCUGGAUAUGCUGGUAUGGAGUGAUGGCCAGUCCCCCACACCAGGCCCUGAAAUCAGGGUAGCUGGGCCUGCUGCUCAAGGUCCAACACAAACCCUCAAGAAACUGGGUGCUGGUCCCAGAUCUCCUUCUCAUCAUGGUCCAGAUGUGGACAACUGUCAUCUGCCCCUUCUGAUUGUCACCAACAUGUCUGGAAGAUUAAAAUCACCUUUAUAUUACUGAUGAUAAACGAAUAUUAAUUGGGAAUCCAUAGAUUCCAG
ensembl:lncRNA